AUGGGACAUUUGUACAAUCCACAUAUGAAGAUAAGGAAGAAAGAGAUGUUUAUUUGCUGUCCAAAAAGUUCUCUCACGUCACUUUUGGCCCAAGAGAAGAUAGAGUCCAAGUCUCUCACGUUCUGGAUUCAGAUUCGGACUGCACAGACAUACCUGACUCAAAACGCACACAAGUUUUUCAUACGGACUCCGAAUUGGGUGAUUCUUUUUUUGUUGGAAACUAGAUUUCGUGCACUUUCCAACCCAAUUGGAAUCACCUUCAAAUUCGUCCGGAGCGUUGAGUUGUGGACGAAACAAUCUGAUGAGGACAUCAAUACAAUUGUUACACCCACAGCCCCUGCUGCUAUACAUACUGGACCAAUUACUAGAGCUCGUGCACGCCAACUAAAUUACCAGGUACUUUCGUUUCUUGGUAAUGAUUCUAAUGUUCAUGAGAAUAUGAUGCUGCCUAAAUUGGAUACAUUUGUUUUGCUUACAAAUGAAGGGCCUAGCUUGGAGAAGGAUGAACAUUGGAGCAAGACAAGCAUGGAGAUGAUGCCAUGCGCAAGGGGAACAAGAACGGAGUUACAAGUGAUGAUUUCAGGACUUUGA
rnacentral:rRNA from 1 species